GACGAACGCUGGCGGCGUGCCUAAUACAUGCAAGUCGAACGCAUUUUCUUUCACCGUAGCUUGCUACACCGAAAGAAAAUGAGUGGCGAACGGGUGAGUAACACGUGGGUGACCUGCCCAUCAGCGGGGGAUAACACUUGGAAACAGGUGCUAAUACCGCAUAAUUCCAUUUACCGCAUGGUAGAUGGAUGAAAGGCGCUUUUGCGUCACUGAUGGAUGGACCCGCGGUGCAUUAGCUAGUUGGUGGGGUAACGGCCUACCAAGGCUGCGAUGCAUAGCCGACCUGAGAGGGUGAUCGGCCACACUGGGACUGAGACACGGCCCAGACUCCUACGGGAGGCAGCAGUAGGGAAUCUUCGGCAAUGGACACAAGUCUGACCGAGCAACGCCGCGUGAGUGAAGAAGGUUUUCGGAUCGGAAAACUCUGUUGUUAGAGAAGAACAAGGAUGAGAGUGGAAAGUUCAUCCCUUGACGGUAUCUAACCAGAAAGCCACGGCUAACUACGUG
rnacentral:rRNA from 1 species